UACAGAGGGGGCAAGCGUUGUCCGGAUUGACUGGGCGUAAAGCGCACGUAGGUGGCAUGGUAAGACUCGUGUGAAAGCGCCUCGCUUAACGAGGCGUCGCCAUGGGUGACUGCCAAGCUGGAGGCUUGCAGAGGUGGGUGGAAUUGCCGGUGUAGUGGUGAAAUGCGUAGAGAUCGGCAGGAACACCAAGGGGGAACCCAGCCCACUGGGCAAGGCCUGACACUGAGGUGCGACAGCGUGGGGAGCGAACAGG
rnacentral:rRNA from 1 species